GAACAGAGUGAAUGGAGUAAACAAGAGUUAUGGAGAAACGAGUGAUGGAGAACAGAGUGAUGAGGACACACAGAAGAGAAAGAAAGAAAAAAGAGAGAGAGGUGGAGGACAUGGUGAUAAUAUUGGAAGAGGAGGUGGGGGUGGUCUGUGUGGAUAAAUGUUUUGAAGAGGGAGGUGGGGGUGUCUGUGUGAAUAAUGUGUUGAAAGGGAGGUGGGGGUGUCUGUGUGAUAAGGUUUUGAAGAGGGAGGUGGGGGUGCCUCUGUGUGAUAAUGUUUUGAAGAGGGAGGUGGGGGUGCCCUCUGUGUGAUAAUGUUUUGAAGAGGGAGUGGGGUGCCUGUGGAUAAAGUUUUGAAGAGGGAGGUGGGGGUGCCUCUGUGUGAUAAUUGUUUGAAGAGGGAGGUGGGGUGUCUGUUGAUAAUGUUUUGGAAGAGGGAAGGUGGGGGUGGCAUCUGUGG
rnacentral:lncRNA from 1 species